GUGAAUCAUCAAAUCUUUGAGCGCAAAUUGCACUCUCCUCGGAGAGUAUGCCUGUUUGAGGGUCGGCCUAUAAAAAAUCGACAUCGUUGCUGUUUCGCGGUGACGUUCGUCGGAAAUUGGGUCGUCUUAAAUCCUUUUGGUUUUAAGCGACUUAAAAUUUUCUUUUUGGUUCCAUGAACGUUUCUAAGAUUUAUUCUUUUACAGGUUUAAGCGAUCGCUUUUUAUUAGUCGUGCCC
rnacentral:misc_RNA from 1 species